CAUCACAACCCUGAACAGCAGCUACAUGCUCUUGGAAGAGAAAUAAGAAGAUGUGUCAGAAUGCGUGGUGGUGGUGGUGUUAGGGGAAGACAUAAUAGAGGAAGAAGGCAAAGAAUAAAAGUCCCUGAUGAAAUCAGAGCCACAUUGUGGACCAUGUCAUAAACCACGGUCUUAUGGAAGAGGCUGGACGGAGAGUACAGCCUAAUGUAAACAGGUCCAAAGAGUCAUCCAUUGUGCAAACAUUCCAUAGGGAAAACAGACUGCACAAUGGCCUCAUGCUGGUGGCAGAGCAGCAGUGUUCAGCAAGAACAAGACAUUUGCAACAUGGUCAUAGCCAGCAAUUCCAUCAGGCUAAGAGAGAUCCAAAGUGCAAUCAUAAAUGACAACAAUAUAUUUGUAAAUAUCAAUUCUGUCAGCAUUUCCAUUAUAGACAGAGUUUUGGAGAAUAAAAAAAAUCAAAUGACUAUGAAACAACUCUUCAAGUUGCCAUUUGAGAGGAAUAGUGAAGGAGCUGCGGUACCAGUAUUGUCAGGUUCUGCUUUCCUUUUGUUAGUCAACCUUGUGUUCUUUUUCUUUGUGUUCCAGAACGUACCCCUGUCUUUCAUUUUUGUUCAUUGAUUUCACCUGUGUUCAUUUCUCACCUGGUCUCAUCAGCUCCCUAUUCAGUUCAGUUCUUCCUGUUUGUAUGGUUGAGGUAUUGUUUGUUUUUUGACUAUCUACCCGUGUUUGACCAUUGCCUGCAUGUGACCACGAUUCCUGCCUUCUGCAACGACUUAAUAAACAUCUGCCGCGCUCUGCGUGUGAAUCUACACCUUUUUCGCCCUGAGUAUUCAUUACAAGUAUGUCCAGGUAAACCAUUGGUGUGCACAGGGUAAAUUGUUCAGGGAGGUUUACUGUACUUUAAUGAUGCCUGUAGAUACUUCUUGAAGUUGUAGGUACUCAUAAGAACAGAAAACAUUUAUACUUUACUAAACUGUCUGAUUCUAGAAUAGUUUUACAUAGCAUAAGUUUAUAUUUUAUUUUUGUGUUACUAUGUAGAGAAUAAUGGAGCUGCUUUUGUGGCAGAGGUUGGGUUCAAUCUGGCUAAAGGCACCGAGCUAGAAUUGGCACACCAGGCCAACGUGGGGGCAGUAUUACGUGUGCUGCCAUUUCUGAGAAUGAAAACACAUUGUGCUCUAUAACACCCAACUUCUCCUGGCCUUCCUAAACACACUUUACAGAGACCUAAUGCCAGAACACCAAAGAGUUAGACUGUAUUUGGCAAAUUCUGUAAUUGUGUGGGAUAAUGUCAGCUUCCACCGACCCAACAGUGUUUGGGAAUGGUUUGCUGCGCAUGAAAUAAUAACAAUGGAGUUCCUUCCACCAUCCUCCACCAUGUGAUGUUGACGAUUCUCUGGCCAGACCAACAAGAGCGACAGGAUGUCCACCAAGAAGGUGGGAACUUGUAGUGCUAAGGUGUAUCAAAACACGUGUACUGUACCUCCUGUAUGAUCUUCUGCAGCUCACGGUUCUCUCUCUCCAGCUGGCGAGACUUCUCCUCGUCGUUGUUGUUGGUGGACGAGCCGGUCUUCAGCGUGUCCUGCU